rnacentral:piRNA from 1 species
UAGACUCAAUCCAAUUAUAAUUAAAAGGUUU